rnacentral:rRNA from 1 species
ACUCCUACGGGAGGCAGCAGUGGGGAAUAUUGGACAAUGGGCGNAAGCCUGAUCCAGCCAUGCCGCGUGUGUGAAGAAGGUCUUCGGAUUGUAAAGCACUUUAAGUUGGGAGGAAGGGCAGUAAAUUAAUAGUUUGCUGUNNNGACGUUACCGACAGAAUAAGCNCCGGNUAACUCUGUGCCAGCAGCCGCGGUAAU